rnacentral:lncRNA from 1 species
UUUUUCGGUAAACAUUAAAGCUUCUCUAUACUUGCUAUUUUGCUGUGUACGGGUCGAAAGUUGGAUUAAGGGGUCUUCAUUGCUGAUAUUUCUUGUCUGCUUAAUUGGUUAGUAUUCUUAUUUAGCGUUUAUAUUAUUUUGCAUCCAUACAUUUAUGUAAGUUUGUAAUGAUAAAGGAAGCAUCUGGGUUAGUUCUCCUCCCCAUUUUAUAUGUGAUGUAUGUGCGUGAUAUCAUAUUCAGUGUUUGCUAUUUAUUUGAGUAAUCUGAUACUCGAGUUAAUAUGACUAUGUCCUUUUGCCCGUCUCGAUUAAAAUGAACAAUGGUAAGCGCCUCUUCUACUAUAUUUGUGUUGUAUUGCUCUCUUUUGUUCAGUAGGG